UCAUUAUUCUGACACUUUUUUUCCUUAUUUUGAAAUUAAUUGCAAUUUUUUGUUUUGUUUUCACAAAUCAUGGUGAGUAGCAUUUUAGCAAAGGUUUCUUUUCAAAGCAGCAGCAGCAGCAAAAAAAAAAAAAGUUUUUUGGUCAACCAUAUUGCUUAUCCUCAUGGCAAGCAAUGUUGUUCAGCAUUUAUAUUCACCUUUUAAAUAUUAGUAGGCAGAGUCCUGCAUUACUGUGGUGGAUUACUGGGACGACUGGGAAAAAAUACCUGUGACCAUAUUUAGUUCUGCACUCAAUCGGAUUUGUGCACGACCUGAUUAUAACCAAGGGAUCUGAAAUUACUAGGAGGGAACAAGUGCUAUUGAUGGGUUAUCUGUAGGACCGAAGAACCUAUAUAUGAUGGGCAAUGAUCUAAGCUUGUUCAAUGCAUUUUUUCAAAAUCUAUUCUCAAAGCUGCAUGGGCAUGAUUAUCCUUUUCCUACUCACCCUACCCUGCAUAUUUUUAUUCUCAUUCCUGCUUUCUCACAAUAAUAUGCAUUCCCAUGGACAGUCAGCUGUUCUUCUACGAUAUAUUUGCAGGAUGGAAGAUACAAUGGGAAGAUAAUGUUCUACACCAGUUCUGUUGUCCACCUUCUGGGUCUAGUAGUCCAUCUUCAAGAUAACAGAGAAGUUCUGAGUCGCUAAACUGUGCAGUCAGAGUUCCACAUCUGUACAUUCCACUCCCUCUUCUUUCUCUGGCUGGUGUGUAUGGAACUGAAACUAACUUGCAUGGAUACACUAAAGGUUCUGGUUUGCAGCGAAUUCAGAUAUGUUCAGAAGGGCAUAUGGCUGCCUAAUCAUUUCCACCCAGCAUUUUCUACUACACGUUUUCACAACCCUCUUUAUAUGUUCUUAUGUUAUUUUGAACGGCCAUAGAAUGUAAACCAAUAUGUAAAUAUCACAUUUUUAAAAAAGAAAAUAAAAAGUACCAUAAACCUGACUUUUGUACAGUUUUGUUGCAUACAGUCCCAGUGACUUUUUCAGUUUAUGUUCUAAUGACAAUUAGUAAGCCUUUAAAUAAAUCUCAUUCUCUCUCUCUCUCUCUCUCUCUCUCUCUCUCUCUCUCUCUCUCGGCCUCCCUCCCUCCCAGCAAUUCACAACAUUCUUGUUCUGGGCUUUUGCAAUACUGUCCAAUCUGCAAUUUAGAAAUGAGCCUGAAUUUUUCAAUUUUGGGAUCUGGGACUACUAUUUAUCUUACCUUGGUUUUUAAACAUCAGAUUUUAUAAGAUUUCAAUUGUAUCUGUGAGAACCAUAUUUCCUCAGUGUUUAAGAGCACUUCCGUGCCUUUGACUGUUACCUGAAUAUCUGUUAAGUGUGUUUCUGAGGGAAUAUGCUUUGUGUGUAUAUGACACUGAUGGACCCACACUAUUUCAAUGGGAAGAUCAAACCUGACAUCGUUGGGAUAAAAUAAUUAUAUUUCUGUGUUGUGUGGAAGCCCACAUGGGUACUUGACGAAUGUGGAAAUUGCUUUGAAGGUCAAUGUAAGGUACGAUCCACAUGAGAGAAAAAAUCGUUCAGUGCAGCCAAACUGACUGGUUGCAUUUUAUUAUGCUGAGCGUUUGAUAACCUUUUAUAUUUUUAACUCCUUUCUUUUUAUCUAAUAUAAUGCUGUCCUUUAUCUUAUACUCCGUUUUUGGUAUUCCUUGGCAUUAAUCCAGUAGUAUCUUUCAUAUUAAGGGAGGCAGUUUUAAGAGCAAAAAAGCAAAAUGUAUAUAUGUGUUUUGCCUACCCUGUCAAUCCACAAAUAUUAAGUGCAAUGUUCAUGUGAUUCCAUCUGUAUAAUAUUCUUUUAAUAUAAGAUGUUGAGCAAUAAGACGGGAUGCAGCAAUACAAGUUCUGAUAAGGAUAAUGCAGUAUCAUUGUGUAAAUGUCUGGAUUUUGCUGGAAUUAUUAGCCUUUUACUUAUUUAGGAAGGAAUACCUCACAGAGGGUGAGAAUUUAUGUUGUUGUGACUUGCUUUUCUUUUUCACAAACAAAAACAAUAAUUAUCCCUGCCCUCAGUGUAGUGAUGUAUAGCACUGUAAUUACUCCUUUUCUCACCCACUGAGAUGUCUGGAAUCUUUUAAUCUAAUUAUAAUUUUGUUUGUGCGUGUAAAGGCAAAAAUAGAAGGGCCUAUUCUAUGUAACGAAGUUCAAAGCAUUCAUUUUGGGUGCCAGUUUGCAAGAUUAAUAAAAAGGAUGCUGAUUAGCCUGGCCAUCGUUACAAUUAA